CGCCCAUUUGAGUUUGCUGGAUCAGAGUGAUCGUUUGUGGGAAGUCUGCUGGACUGAGCUAUCGUCUGGAUUGGUGCUGUGGAAGGAGAGAGAAGAGAUAAGUGAACUGAUUUCAUCUUAUGAGUGUUUAAAUUGCUGGAAGAGGAUGCAGUAAAUGUGGAUCUGAUUGUCGGAAGAGCUAUGUGUUUCAGAGUGUGUUGAGGAGGAAUUGAGAGAGAAAUCCCUCGUGGAGCGAGCGCAACAAACUGAGUGGGGCCUCUGACCAGCCUUAUUGCGUGAGUGAAUUGCAGUGCUUUUGCCUUAUUGAUACACAUUGAUUUGUGGCUGUGGAAUUGAAGUGAACACAAGUGUGCUGUGCCUUUGCUGAGAAGUGGCCCUAGCCCCAUUUACACGUUUGUGGAAAGUUACUAUAUCUGCUCCCCAUUGGAAGUCCAGUGUGAUACAGCUGCACUGAAGAGGGUACUCUGUACUGUGAAGGUCCUUAAUUGUUAUUUACUGUUUUGAGCCCAGAAGCCUACCGCAUCACUGGAGAAACGAUCUUUUAACCCACUGUCUCCUUACUGUGAAUUGAAGAGAGUACUGUGCAGAUCCUUACCUGUUCCACUUACUGUUGAGUUCAGAGGCAUGCAGCAUCACUGAAGCACACUGCAUCAUUUGGGAAGCAACCUUUUAAUUCACUGUCUCCUUACUGCGAGCUGAAGAGAGUACUGUGUACUGUGAAGAUCCUUACCUGUUCUACUUACUGUCCGAGUCCAGAGGUAUACAGCAUCACUGGUAAAGUACCCUGUUUAAUCCAUUGUCUUCCUGCUGUACAUUGAAGAGAGUAUUUUGUACUGUGAAGAUCCUCACCUGUUCUACUUACCGUUUGAGUCCAGAAGGACGCAGCAUCAUGGGCGAAGUAAACCUUUAACUCACUGUCUUCCUCCUGUGGACCGAAGAGUACCGCGCACUGCGAAGAAUCCUUACCUGCUAUACUUACUGCCCGAGUUCGGAAGUCUGCAGCACUGCUGGGAAAAAUCCAGAAGCAUGCAGCAUCGCUGGUGAAGCCGUCUAGUGAUUCGCUGGCUCGCCCCCCUGUGAACCGAAGGGAGAGCUGUGUACUGUGAAUAACCCUUACCUGUUAUUCUCACUAUCUGAGUCUGGAAGUCUGCAGCACCGCUGGUGAACGGAGUCCCUAAAUUGCCGCCCAGGGGACACCGUGACAGUUGCGACACGCCCGCCCGUGACAGAAGGAUAUCUAGAGGACAGUGAAGGCUAUCCAAUUGA